GAUGAACGCUAGCGGGAGGCCUAACACAUGCAAGCCGAGCGGUAUUUCUUCUUCGGAAGAGAGAGAGCGGCGUACGGGUGCGGAACACGUGUGCAACCUGCCUUUAUCUAGAGGAUAGCCUUUCGAAAGGAAGAUUAAUACUCUAUAAUAUAUUAAUUGGCAUCAAUUGAUAUUGAAAACUCCGGUGGAUAGAGAUGGGCACGCGCAAGAUUAGCUAGUUGGUGAGGUAACGGCUCACCAAGGCAAUGAUCUUUAGGGGGCCUGAGAGGGUGAUCCCCCACACUGGUACGGAGACACGGACCAGACUCCUACGGGAGGCAGCAGUGAGGAAUAUUGGUCAAUGGGUGCAAGCCUGAACCAGCCAUCCCGCGUGAAGGAUUAAGGUCCUAUGGAUUGUAAACUUCUUUUGUAUAGGGAUAAACCUACCCUCGUGAGGGUAGCUGAAGGUACUAUACGAAUAAGCACCGGCUAACUCCGUGCCAGCAGCCGCCGUAAAAC
rnacentral:rRNA from 1 species